rnacentral:rRNA from 1 species
UCGGGGUGGGANUAAAACAUGCAAGUCGAGCGCCUUCAAGCUAUGGUGAAGGCGCGGCAAACGGCUCAGUAACACGUGGCCAACCUACCCUUGGGACGGAGACAACCCCGGGAAACUGGGGCUAAUCCCCGAUAGGUAAGGAAUCCUGGAAUGGAUCUUUGCUGAAAGGGCGUCUAGACCAUGCUUCUUGACGUCGCCCAAGGAUGGAGCCGCGGCCGAUCAGGUAGUUGGCGAGGCAACGGCUCACCAAGCCUAUAACCGGUACGGGCCGUGAGAGCGGUAGCCCGGAGAUGGGCACUGAGACAAGGGCCCAGGCCCCACGGGGCGCAGCAGUUGCGAAAACUCCGCAAUGCGCGAAAGCGUGACGGGGCUACCCCGAGUGCCGCCCGUUGAGGGCGGCUUUUCCAUGGUGUAAGGAGCCGUGGGAAUAAGGAGAGGGCAAGACUGGUGUCAGCCGCCGCGGUAAUACCAGCUCUCCGAGUGGUGGGGACGAUUAUUGGGCUUAAAGCGUUCGUAGCCGGCUUAACAAGUCUUCCGUUAAAUCCAACGAUCUAAUCGUUGGGCUGCGGGAGAUACUGUUGGGCUAGGAGGCGGGAGAAGCCGACGGUAUUCCCGGGGUAGGGGUGAAAUCCUGUAAUCCCGGGAGGACCACCAGUGGCGAAGGCGGUCGGCUAGAACGCGCUCGACGGUGAGGGACGAAAGCUGGGGGAGCGAACCGGAUUAGAAACCCGGAUAGUCCCAGCUGUAAACGAUGCGGGCUAGGUGUUGGGGUGGCCAUGAGCCACUUCAGUGCCGCAUGGAAGCAAUUAAGCCCGCCGCCUGGGGAGUACGGCCGCAAGGCUGAAACUUAA